GGAGCGUGGCGGGAGAACUCAGCAGAGAAACUUUUCCCAGUUAUCACGUAUCUUGACUGAUUCGACCAGGCAAGCUUCAACUACAUAUUAAUUAUUCUUGGAUGUUGUGUGGAAGUUUGGCUGGCAGAAUAGAGCGUCUGUGGUGUGAUGUCUGAGCAGCUGUGACACAACUGUACUGUUCCUUACAAUUUUGGAACAGGAAAGAUGACCGGGAUAGUCAUCCAAUCCAAAAGAACAUGGUCCCAGAAUCAGCUAUGGUACCUUGGUCUCAUGCAGAAUCCAGUCAGAGAUCUCUGAAGCCUUUGGGUGCUUGUCAGCUGUACAACCAACUGCCUCAUCAGAAAGCUUCCCCAGUCAUCUCAGCCUGAUGUGUCUGCAUCCUGUUUCAUGUCGAAUAUUUUGGAGAAUCGUUAAGAUUACCAUUUGUCUGAGGAAUCCAGAAACAUGGCACUUGGUCGCAAGUGGAUAUUUAGACUCCUUGUUAUGGCCAGCAAACUUCCUGCAAAGCAACUGAACAAAAAAUUAUUCAUUUCAAAUAUUGCAGAUAUUUAAACAGAUCAUACUUUUGAAACUUCACAAAAUAUCUCUAAAAAGAUGUCCCAGAAUCCUCUCAGCUACAACAAAUAUCACUGUUGAAGAAAGUGGGGAAAUGAUUGCACCCAAACGAUCCGCUUCUCCUUUAAAAAGUCUGGAGACCCGAGUGUUUGCUGAAAUAAAUAAAAUUGUUUG
ensembl:lncRNA uncharacterized LOC107197585